CGUUGAAACACAAGUUCCCGUAUGGUCAACGAAGUUAAGCAACUUCAGGCCUGGUCAGUACCGAGAUGGAUGACUGCUUUGGAAUACCACGUACUGUAAG